rnacentral:rRNA from 1 species
UUUUUUUCGGGUGGGGCGGAGGACUGGAGGUCGUAGAGGGUCUAGGGCUAGGUGGGUGGGUGUUGAGGGUAACGGCGGCCACAGGGCGAAGGUCCGCAGCAGCGGUCGGAGGAGGAAGAUGCGCAGCGGCGCCCGGAGGGCGAAGGUGCGCAGCAGUGGCCGGAGGAGGAAGGUGCGCAACAACGAUCUGAGGAGGAAGGUGCGCGGUGGCGGUCGGAGGGGGAAGGUGCGCGGCGGCAGCGGAGGGAGAAGGUGGGCGGUAGCGUCCGAGGAGCCGAAGGUGGGCGGGAGCACCGUAUGAACGAAGGUGGUCGGCGGUAGCCUCGGUGGGGCCGUGGAGGUAGCGGCNNNNNNNNNNNNNNUGGGGAGGACGGCCGCUGUGCGGGUGAGGAGGGCUGCUACACAGGGCGGCGGAGUUGCACGUCCGGUAAGUGGAGGCGGUGGGAUCUGGCAAGUGGAGACGGUGGUGACGGACAAGUUGCACCGGAGCUGUUGGGCCGCGUACUUGUGGGAGACAGUUGAGGUUACGCUGAAACAAACAGAGUUGAAGUUUUGUACAAGUUAAGUCUUGAACUGUACCUCCCACAUGACUACUAUGGAUCGGCUUACUUCGAGACUCGAUAUAGGACUCCUUUGUUCUCCCUCACAGUUGUGACUAUGUCCCUCUACGUGUGGUUUGGGCGGCGGGCUCCGGCACAUGGUAGCGUCGCGGGGAAGGGGUCGGUAGCACUCCAGUUGGAGGACCCUAUGUGUUUCAAAGUCAAGCAGCUCUCCGAAGAACCUCCAAGUUUUGUAAAGUGAAGUGGAAAAA